AUACGUAGGGAGCGAGCGUUGUCCGGAAUUACUGGGUGUAAAGGGAGCGUAGGCGGGACGGCAAGUCAGAUGUGAAAUACAUGGGCUCAACCCAUGGGCUGCAUUUGAAACUGCUGUUCUUGAGUGAAGUAGAGGUAAGCGGAAUUCCUGGUGUAGCGGUGAAAUGCGUAGAUAUCAGGAGGAACACCGGUGGCGAAGGCGGCUUACUGGGCUUUUACUGACGCUGAGGCUCGAAAGCGUGGGGAGCAAACAGGAUUAGAUACCCUGGUAGUCCACGUUGUAAACGAUGAUCACUAGGUGUGGGGGGACUGACCCCUUCCGUGCCGCAGUUAACACAAUAAGUGAUCCACCUGGGGAGUACGGCCGCAAGGUUGAAACUCAAAUGAAUUGACGGGG
rnacentral:rRNA from 1 species